AUGGCCCUAUUUGACGAGUUCUUUGUUGGGUCCAUUGACCUUGCUCGGCUGAACUAUGGGGUAAUCACCCUCAUCCCCAAAGUGACUGGGGCCUCGGACAUCUGACUGUUCUGGACGAUUACGGUGAUUAAUGUCAUCUUCCGCAUCCUCGCAAAGGGGUACGCCAUUAGGGUGGCCCCUAUUGCCGACCAGAUUACCCAUCCAGACUAGUCGACCUUCAUUCAGGGCCGCUAUAUCCUUGAUGGGGUCUUGGUGUUCCACGAAGCUCUCCAUGAGGUGCACUCCAAACACCUCAAGGCAGUCUUCUUGAAACUGGACUUCCACAAGGCAUACGACACGGUUAGUUGGCCCUUCCUUCGGGAAUGCCUGCUCCGUAAGGGCUUUGACAACAUGUGGAUAACCCAAGUGAUGCAGUUGGUAUCCUCGGGCCGCACCGCGGUGAACAUCAAUGGGGAGAUCGACCCUUUCUUCCACACAUUCUGUGGGGUUCGCCAGGGUGAUCCCUUCUCUCCAUUCCUGUUUAACAUGGUUGUCGAUGCUCUGGCGGCCAUCCUGGAUAAGGCCAAGGCGGCAGGUCACAUUGAUACGUCCAUUUUGCAUCAUGCUUUUAUAUCGAUAUUUAUUGCAUUAUGGGCUGUUAUUACACAUUAUGUCACAAUACUUAUGCCUAUUCUCUCUUAUUUUACAAGGUUUACAUAA
rnacentral:rRNA from 1 species